GAGGGUGUAGCUCAGUGGUAGAGUGUGUGCUUAGCAUGCACGAGGCCCUGGGUUCCAUCCCUAGUACCUCCA
rnacentral:tRNA from 1 species